ACAACUGGAGCCUCAUUUUCUUACUUUUUUUUUUUUUUUAGGUGGAGUUUUGCUCUUGUUGUCCAGGCUGGAGUGCAGUGGCACAAUCUUGGCCUACUGCAACCUCCACCUCCCAGGUUCAAAUCAUUCUUCUGCCUCAGCCUUCCAAGUGGCUGGGAUUACAGACAUCACAACAUUGCCCCAGAGAGGAACCCAGGAUUCUCACACCAUGACACCAUCCUCAUCUGUUUCUCCAGCCACAUUUGGACAUGGAUCUGGCAGCCAAAGGACUCUAAUCUGAAUGUGGGUCAAAAGACCCUUAUUCCAGAAAAGGUCCCACCCCAUACUCUGGAGGAAGGAAUGCUGCACAGAAGGGUCAAGAAGAAUCUGAACAGACGGGUCUUGCUGGGUUUCCCCACUCAGUCUUCUAGGACGAGAUCGUACUCUUUUUGUCCAGUCACAUGUCUACGAAGUUGUCAAUCAUGCCUAUAUAAUGAAGCCUCCAUAAAAACCCAAAAGGACAGGGUUUAGUGAGCUUCCAGAUAGUUGAAUACAUGGAGGUUCCUAAAGGGUGGUGCUCCCAGGGAGGGCGUGGAAGCUCCACACACCUUCCCCUCCUCUCCUUUUGCAUCUCUUCAUCUGUAUCCUCUGUAAUAUCCUUUAUAAUAAACCAGUAAAUGUAAGUGUUUCCUUGAGUUCUCUGAGCCACUCCAGCAAAUUAAUCAAACCCCAAGAGGGGGUCAUGGGAACCUUGACUUGAAGCUUGUUGGUCGGAAGUUCCAGAGGCCAGAACUUGAGACUGGUAUCUGAAAGUGGGUAUUCUUGGGGACUGAGCCCUCAACCUGUGAGAUCUGAUGCUAUCUCCAGGUAGAUAGUGUCGGAACUGAAUGGGAGGACACCUAGUGGUGUCCACUGGGGUACUGAUUGCCCACUUGGUGGUGGGAACAGCCCCUUCACACACACAUUUGGUCCCAGAAGUCUUCUGUGUUAAUGAUUAUUGUGGUGUGAGAGCAGAGAAAAACACUGUAAAAUGUUAGAGCUUUUCCCAAUUUGCAUUAUUCUUUACAUAAUCUGGCUUUAAGUCCUUCAUUGAUUAUCUGUAUUACAAAUAUUUUCCCUACACCAUGGGUGGUAGUUUUACCCAUUUA
rnacentral:lncRNA from 1 species